AACUAUAGUUCAACCAUACAAAUAAAAGACACAUGUCCAAAUAAAAGAUACAUAGUUCAUCACCAGUGUAACCAUAUUUCAUCCAACCACCAUGAUACAUGAGUUCAUAACACCAUGACAAAACAUAGUUCAUAUAGCCAUAGUUCUAAUCAUGACCCACAAACUAGAAGUUCUCACUAACGAAACUUGAAAACCAUGAUAUCUUCCAAUCGAAUGGUAGAUUCACGAAAGCAUGAGCAUCAUUAGGAUGUCUAACCAAGUGCUGAUAGUACUGAGACUUGUGGUUAAGCUGAAAACCUGGGAGACUGUCCACUGCUUCAAACAAACCAUCUGGAUUAUUUCCCCACUCGUUCAAGUGGUAUCGUACACCAUGAAAAGGGGGCAUAAAUCCAGGUUUAGCUCCAUAUCCGGCAUCGACUAGGUAGAACUUUCCUAUCACGCAAGGGAUAUGUAUGUGAGCUACACUAGGUAUUAUAUUUCAUGACUAAAGUAAUGAGCUACACAAGUUGUAUUUACCUUUAGGCACACAAAGACCAUUUUCUCUUUCUAAAGCAUCACGUAAGACUAGGGCAUCAUGAGCUGUCCCCUCCCAACCAGCCAAGACAAAUGUGAAUCGAAGAUUAAAAUCUAUUGUUGUCA